UACAGAGGGUGCGAGCGUUAAUCGGAGUUACUGGGCGUAAAGGGCGCGUAGGUGGUUGUGUGUGAGUGAUGUGAAAGCCCCGGGCUUAACCUGGGAAGUGCAUCGCUAACUGCAUAACUUGAGUAGAUGAGAGGGUAGCGGAAUUUCCGGUGUAGCGGUGAAAUGCGUAGAGAUCGGAAGGAACGUCAAUGGCGAAGGCAGCUACCUGGCAUCAUACUGACACUGAGGCGCGAAAGCGUGGGGAGCGAAC
rnacentral:rRNA from 1 species